UGGGGAAUUUUGGACAAUGGGCGCAAGCCUGAUCCAGCCAUGCCGCGUGGAUGAUGAAGGCCUUAGGGUUGUAAAAUCCUUUCGCCGAGGACGAUAAUGACGGUACUCGGAGAAGAAGCUCCGGCUAACUUCGUGCCAGCAGCCGCGGUAAUACGAAGGGGGCUAGCGUUGUUCGGAUUUACUGGGCGUAAAGCGCGUGUAGGCGGGUCGUUAAGUUGGGGGUGAAAUCCCGAGGCUCAACCUCGGAACUGCCUUCAAAACUGGCGACCUGGACCUAAGUAGAGGCAAGUGGAAUUGCGAGUGUAGAGGUGAAAUUCGUAGAUAUUCGCAGGAACACCAGUGGCGAAGGCGACUUGCUGGACUUAUGGUGACGCUGAGACGCGAAAGCGUGGGGAGCAAACAGGAUUAGAUACCCCUGUAGUCCCUGAGCGGGCUGGCAAGGCGCAU
rnacentral:rRNA from 1 species